rnacentral:rRNA from 1 species
GACGAACGCUGGCGGCGUGCUUAAUACAUGCAAGUCAACGACUUUUAAGAUAGCAAUAUUUUAAGGGAGUGGCGCACGGUGAGUAACACGUAGGCAAUCUACCUUUAGGACUGACACAACUCGUCGAAAGACGGGCUAAUAUCAGAUAAUGCAGCGGCUCCGCAUGGAGACAGUUGUUAAAGUACAAGCGCCUGAAGAUGAGCCUGCGGUCCAUUAGCUAGUUGGUAGAGUAACGGCCUACCAAGGCAACGGUGGAUAGCUGGUCUGAGAGGAUGAUCAGCCACACUGGAACUGAGACACGGUCCAGACUCCUACGGAGGCAGCAGUAAGGAAUAUUGCUCAAAUGGCCGAAAGGACUGAAGCAGCAACGCCGCGU